AUUGAACGCUGGCGGCAUGCUUUACACAUGCAAGUCGAACGGUAACAGGUUAAGCUGACGAGUGGCGAACGGGUGUGUAAUGCAUCGGAACGUGCCCGAUCGUGGGGGAUAACGCAGCGAAAGCUGCGCUAAUACCGCAUACGAUCUGAGGAUGAAAGCGGGGGACCGUAAGGCCUCGCGCGAUCGGAGCGGCCGAUGUCAGAUUAGGUAGUUGGUGGGGUAAAGGCCCACCAAGCCGACGAUCUGUAGCUGGUCUGAGAGGACGACCAGCCACACUGGGACUGAGACACGGCCCAGACUCCUACGGGAGGCAGCAGUGGGGAAUUUUGGACAAUGGGCGAAAGCCUGAUCCAGCAAUGCCGCGUGCAGGAAGAAGGCCUUCGGGUUGUAAACUGCUUUUGUACGGAGCGAAAAGGUCCUUUCUAAUACAGGGGGCUCAUGACGGUACCGUAAGAAUAAGCACCGGCUAACUACGUGCCAGCAGCCGCGGUAA
rnacentral:rRNA from 1 species